rnacentral:tRNA from 1 species
GGGCUCGUGGUCUAACGGUAUGACGCGGGUAUGGCAUGCCUGUAGUCCGGGUUCGAUUCCCGGCGGGUCCA